rnacentral:lncRNA from 1 species
CCGUAGGCAGUCUUCCGGAAUCCGUAGGCUACCUUAGUCCACUCAGUAGCAGCUUUAGGAUUCCAGGGCAGCCAUCCAUCAGAUGUACUGCGUAAUGUGCCCUCUCCGUCUCUAGGGCCCGGUUCCCCACGGAUUAGGCCAAGAAACCCAAAAUCCUUCAGUUAGCUAAGCCUUGAAAAAGACCAUUGCGGCUACUUCUAGGAAUCCCGGCGCAAGCCAUCGUGCAUCUAGUUAUACUAGGGCAGCCAGGCUCAUCCACGUCUGGAUAUUCGGAGUGUAAAGUUUAUCCUCCCGUCUUGGAGAGCUGACCCAUAUGGGUGUCGGAGAAUUGGUUUACCCUCUCGCACUGGAGAGCAUGGUUGGUCCCUCGGGGGGCGCAAUUCCUGCGAUGAGUCCCUAAGAAGGGCGCAGUCUUCUUUUGAAGUGCAUGAGUGAUUAGUUGUUGUAAGCAUGCAGCCAAGCCAAGUUGUGAUUACUUCUAAAUUCCUCAUUGAAAAACGAGUGAAACGAACGAGAACUUUAACUGUAAGGUAGGAACUGCAUAACAACUGGAUAGUCCUCAGCUUGUGAGGUGGUGCCCGUCGAGCUUAUUGAGUCUUCGGGUUUUGAUGUAGCAGGAGGUCACACAUGGUACUUCUUCAGAUUGUAGGCCAUCCAUUUCUUUUCAAUCUUUUUGCCGCUUUAUGGUGGUGAGGGUGUAAUUACUCUUGCCCCUUACUCUGCUGAUCUUGUACGGACCUUCCCAGAUGGGAUCCAUCUUUUUGGAGCCUUCUCUGCCG